rnacentral:rRNA from 1 species
CGCGGGGUCGGAGACGCCCUGUGGGAAUCUGCCAGCACCAUCUGGUAAGGCUAAAUACUCCUCAAACACCGAUAGCGCACUAGUACUGUGAAGGAAAGGUGAAAAGAACCGCGAACAGCGGAGUGAAAUAGAACCUGAAACCGUAUGCUUACAAGCGGUCAGAGCACCUUAGUGGUGUGAUGACGUGCCUUUUGCAUAAUGAUCCUACGAGUUGCUCGUCACUGGCAAGGUUAAUCCCCGUUAAACGGGAGGAUCCGUAGCGAAAGCAAGUCUGAAUAGGGCGAAAGUCAGUGGCGGCAGACGCGAAACCUUGUGAUCUACCCAUGAGCAGGAUGAAGUGGCGGUAACACGCCAUGGAGGUCCGAACUGAUAAGCGUUGAAAAGCUUCCGGAUGACUUGUGGGUAGGGGUGAAAGGCU